rnacentral:rRNA from 1 species
UACGUAGGGCGCAAGCGUUGUCCGGAAUUAUUGGGCGUAAAGAGCUCGUAGGCGGUCUGUUACGUCCGCUGUGAAAACCCAGGGCUUAACCCUGGGCUUGCAGUGGAUACGGGUAGACUAGAGGCAGGUAGGGGAGAAUGGAAUUCCCGGUGUAGCGGUGAAAUGCGCAGAUAUCGGGAGGAACACCUGUGGCGAAAGCGGCGCACUGGACCACUUCUGACGCUGAGGCGCGAAAGCUAGGGGAGCAAACAGG